CAACAACAAAUAUAUGUCACUUAUUGAUAAUUCACUGGACAUUCUACAGGUGAGAAGAGGUUCUUCAUGGGGGACGAGGCCUGCACAGUUGACUGUGCACUGUUUGGUAUGCUGGCUCAAAUGGUCUGGAACAUGCCAGGCUCACCACAUGAAGCACUCAUCAAUGGAAAGUUCAAAAACCUGAAGGAAUACGCCUACAGGAUGAAGGAGACUUACUGGCCGGACUGGGAUGCAUGCAUUCUGUGCCCA